rnacentral:rRNA from 1 species
ACCAUAUGACAUUGAAACACCAGUUCUUGUAUGAUCACUGAAGUUAAGCAAUAUCAAGCCUGGUCAGUACCUAGAUAGGUGAUUGCUUGGGAAUGCCAGGUGCUA